rnacentral:tRNA from 1 species
GCCCCGGUAGCUCAGCUGGAUAGAGCAACGGAUUUCUAAUCCGUAGGUCAUAGGUUCAAAUCCUAUCCGGGGUAC